rnacentral:sRNA from 1 species
AAAAUCAUUUUCUGAAAUUUUUCAAAUUUUUUUGGUUUUUCUAUGCCUUAGAUGAAUGCAGACUGAAAAAUAUACACAAUGCAACACACACUUCCUGAGCCCUCCCCCAAACUUAAAUCACACAGUCCACUGUGCGAAUAAACUUCAGUUGAAGAAUGAACGUAGUCGAUCUAGCAGUAGGAGUACUCAGGACAAAUCUAAUCACAGAAACAAAAAAAAUGAAGAAACAAAUCACAACAGAUGGUAUAAUACAAUGGUGAAGUGAGGCGCUUACCUCAGUCGAAGAAUGAACGUAGUUGCUCGUCAAUGGCUGCCUGCGAUUGCUCCCAGGCCAUAGACGAACCACCUUGUUCUGUAUCAGUUCCAGCAGGUGGUACUCAACCUCAUCAGCUUUGUGGCGGCCAGCACCGCUCUGAGGAAACUCGACCUCUCUCCUUCUGCUACGGCCAGCACCGCGGUUGCAUAAACUACGAGACUGCAGAAGUCGUCCGCUCCUACUGCUAGAUCGAGUGAGUGUGGUCCUCCUCUUCCUCCCAGAUUCACGAGGCUCGAAUGAUGAAUGCCUCGCAGGGACAUGCGGAAUCUCCUGCUCUCUAGGCUCAGGCCUGCGCCGACUUGGCUCGGGCGCGUCAUAUCUCCUCAAAGGCAUGUCCUGAGGGAGAUGUCCCUGCGGAAUAGCUGUAGUGGAAGAGGAGCAGCUGAGCUUGUUUUUCAUAAACUUGAUAGCCCUGAGGCACUUGGCGAGCAACUUGUCCUAUUUCAUGCACCACUUCUGCAGCUUGCUGUUGUUCCUGUGAGCUUCGCUUAAACUCCUGCUUUCCCUCGCAGCAGGUAUAUGCUCACUGAAAUGAUACAUGCUCGUGUCAAACUCCGCCUCAUGUAUAUCAUCCGUCUCAUGAAUAUCUUCUGUUGUAGCUCCUUCGGUAUGACUGAUCUCCUCAGUUGGCGGACUACCCUCGAAAUAAAGUUCUUCAAGCGCAGGCUUGAAGUCAAUGUUCCUGCCCUCGAGAAUCCUAGUAGCGUCAAUGCAGGUGAGAAGAAUGUUGGCGAUUUUAAUCGAUGAAUGCUCGAACCUGUAGCGGUGAAAGUCGCCAGCCAUGUCAAACUCCAAGAACUCACAUCUGCGCAAAUGAUCCAAGUCCAUCAUCCUCGGUGCUAACCCUGGUUCCUUGAGCGGUACUCCACAAGCUUCCAGAAUUGGCGUCACAACGCCACCCACGCAUAGUGCUCCUCUCACCUUCUUCUUCCUGUUCGUCAACGCCCACUUUCUGUCUCCACACAGAUAGAUCAACAGAGGCAUUACUGGUGGUGCGUUGUUGAGAUCGCCUCUCAAGACAUUCUUCCCCUUCGUCCGACGCAGAAUCCCUGUAAACGCAUAAUCUAUCAUCUCCAUGUCCGUGUUAGACACGGUGCCUGUAGACUCCCUGGAGUAAAAGACGUUGGCGACCGAUCUCUGAAAGUAGCGGAUCACAGGACUCCAGAUUUGGUUGCUCUUGGACCGCGCCAAGUUUAGCUGUAGAUUGUUCCUUAUAGUGGCCCACAAAUCCUUAAGCUCCUCUCUGUCAAAUCUGGGUUUGGUUCCCUUUCCACAAGGGAAACCAAACAGUUCUUCUAACUUCUUGAUCGAAAGCUGAUACCGUUGUUCAUUCACUGAGAACGUCAAGAAGCCUAACCCCAUGGUAUCCAGCUCAAAGUCUGUGAGUGUCUCAUACAUCUCCACUUGCAGCGUGGAAAGAAACUCGAUUGUCUCCUCCUUAAAGGCAGGGUAAGGGUAAGACAUGAGUGUCUCCAGAUGACACUUCUCGAACAGAUGCUGCACGUCCUCCAGUAACUCCAAUUGGGCUAAAGUCUCAUAACACGGAUACCUCGUUCCCCAGAAUUCAUUCAUCUCGAAGAAUUUGAUAUACUCCUCCACUGUAACCUCGUCGGGUUUGUUCAGCAGCUUCGUCUCCCUGCGCCAUGACUCUGGCUCAUACUCGGUCUCGAUAUCCUCAUCAAUCAGCUCAUAUCUACUUGACAUCGCCCUCUUUCCUCUGGCGAUUUCAGCCCUUCUCUGAUUACGUCAGGCUGUAGAGCGUUCAAAUUCAUCCCUGAAGCUCUGGUAAACAUGUUUCUCUCUCAGUCUAGCGGACCAGGACUCAGCUUCAUCCACAUUGUAGUCAGGGUCCAUAGAGGAUUCUCCACUGUAGUUACUCAUUACGAAACCUGAAAACAAAUUUAACUCAAAAAUAAACGUUAAUACGUUAGUUCCAACAAAACCAGGAACACAAACCACAAACCAAAAACAGGUUGAGUAAACUGGUCGAGUAACCCGGUUUUGAAAUUUUUCUUUUUUCGUUUUGUAGGUAAUUGGUCGAGUGGUUAAGGAGGACCGAGUGAAGUGAUGGAGAUAGAGUUGUGAAAACGACAAGGUUAUGCAGGAGCUGCGGUCGAGUGAGUCGGACGGCAAGGUCGAGUAGUGAAUGAUGAGAGUAGAGUCGUGGAUUGGUGAUGAGAUGAUGUUAGAAGAAGUCGAGUGACUGUGAGCGAGAAGUGUUGUUAGAGGAGCGGUGAUUCGAGUGAUUGAAUCGGAGGGGGAGAAGCGGAGGUGCUGGUCGCGUGAAGAGUGGAGUUUGAUUGAGUGGAUUCGGUGAAGUCUAGUGGAGUUGUGAGGAAGGGAAGGUUGUGUAGUGGUCGAGUAAAUGAAGAACAAAAGCUGACUGGAGAGAUGAGAGAAGCGGCGGUCGAGUGUUUUCCUUGGAGAGGAGAAACGGCUGCUUGGUCAAUUGGUGAAGAGGUCGAGUGGCAGCGUGAGACGGUGGUGAAGAGGCGAGAGAGAAGCAGUCGAGUGGUGCUUUGGACGGAAGAUGAUGGCGCUAAAGUCGAGUGAUUGAGGGGAAGUCGAGUGGAGACGGAGUGUGAGCGAGUUCGUGUUUGGUCGAGUGUUUGAGAGAUGGUGGAGUGUUUGAGGAAGAGAAGUGGCGAGGUCGAGUAUUUGUGGAGAGAGGGGCGAUGGGAUCGAGUGAAGUGAUAAGGUGAGGUCGAGUGGUGUGGAUAAGGAGCGUUGAGGUCGAGUGGUGAAGAGAAGAAGAGGAUAGAUUCUUGUCUUCUGGUCAGUUGCAUGGAGGACAUGGGCGUCAGCGGCGGGUCCCACAAUGUCUUCUUGUCUCUUCUCUGUAUUCUUUGUUCACUAGGAAAGCUCCAGGAAAUCCCGCAAUCUUCUAUAAACUUGAUGAACUCUCUGUAAGACUCUGUAGCUCCUGUUGGUCGAGUAAAAUGAUGAUUUAAAAUUUUUUUAGGUUUUUAAACAUCACUCAUACUCGACCACUAUACUCGAUCUCUAGGCCAUCACUAGAGUAAAAGUUUUGAAUUUUUACUCUACCUUCAUGUUACUCCUUUCUUCCUGAGAACCACAAACACAACCAAAACAAAUCAAAAAUAACAAGAAAGUAAAAAUUAUUUACAAGGAUAGUCAUGGGACUUCCUCCCAAGUGAGCUUGUUUUAAGUCUCUAGCUUGACUCCUCACACUCAUCGAGAAGAAAAUGAAUGAUAGAGAGGGUCUACAUAGUCCUCUCUAGCAUCAUCAUCAUACCCAGCGUCCUCCCUGGAGAGGUCUGCAGCAGAAUACUCAAUUCCCCUUUCUUCAAAAUAGGCUUCCUUCUCUUCUGGAGGGUAAUCUGUCUCUUGAGACCAUCUUGAAGUGAAUUCUUUUCUCGGGAUAGUGUUAAUCCCGCCUUUAGGUUAAGUUUCCUUCUGCAUCUGAUUCAGCUUACUCCUAAGUUCCUCAAUAGUGUGGGCUAGCUUCUCUAUAAUUUCAUCUUGCUUAUCAGACCUCUUUUUAAGUUCUUUUACUCUUUCAGUCUCAUAUCCUUCUCCUGAGAUCGCUCUAUCAUUUCCAGAGGUUCUUCCAUCUUCUGUUGACCCUUGUGGAGUUCUGUUGAUGUUAAAGUGCAACUUGAUGUGCUUUCCAAGGUUGAGACCUAUUUUCCCUUCUCUGACAUCUAUCACUGCUCCCACUGAAGCUAAGAAUGGUCUUCCCAGUAUUAAGGGAUCCUUAUGCUCUACUUCCAUAUCCAGCACCACGAAGUCUCUAGGCACUUCUACUCCAUUAAACAUGACUGGUAGGUCUUUCAGCAUGCCGAAGGGUUUUCUAGAAGACCUAUCCGCAAGGAUCAAAGUCAGGUCACAAGGUUUAUACUGAAUGAACUCCAACCUUCUUGUCACAGAGAGUGGCAUCAAGCUAAUAGAGUCUCCGAGAUCGCACAGACAAUCGCUGAAAGCAAAUUCCCCAAUGGAACAUGGUAGAGUGAAAGAUCCAGGAUCUUCUAACUUCUCUUGAACAAUCCUUUUACCAGCAGCUCGAGAUGGAGUGGCGUCACUUUCAUCAUCUGAAUCGUGAUACAUCUUGAUCCUUUCCAGUAUUAAAUUUCUCACAUCUUUGUGAGGAUCAGGAAUCAGGUUAAGAACUUCCAUUAGUGGCAUCACUGCUUCAAUCUCGUCCAACUGCUUCGCUGCAACAGACUUGUAUCUCUUCAUCCAUGCUUUCCUGAAUGUCCACGGAAGAGCACGUGAGGGUAGUGGAGUAGGUUUGAAUCGUUUUACCAUUCUCUCGAUUAUGGCGGCCUUCUCUUUCGAGGUGGAUUGAGUGAGAUGGCGAGAACCAGCAGAAUGGUUGAAUUCAAUAACAGAGACUUCAACCUGAGUAGAAGCCUCUCCUUCUUGAACAUCACUGUCCUAGUGAUGAAAUCAGGGACUGGUCAAGUUGGCAGCUCUCGAUCAUGGCAGAUGGUGAUGGCGUGAGCGGUUGCAUACUCUUUUGGAUUCUGUAUAGACUUCCCUAAAAGUCCUGUAACUUUUGGUGCAGAGGUAGAUGCUGAUUGGCCUUCCAAAUAUCUGACUUUGGUGUUUAAUGCUUUCCAUUUUGGCAUUCAGGUCAUUGUAGCUGCAGUCCAGCUUAUGGUGCAAUUCAGAUAAUUUCUUAGCAAUUUCCAUUGAGCUAGAUGCUUGUCCCUGUAGCAGCUGUUGAACCAUCUGAUUCAUUUCAGCAUCAGGAGCAGCAGGACCUUGGUUUUGCUGAGGUGCAAACCCAGGUGGUGGUGGUUGUUGGUAGUUCCCCUGGAAUUGUUGCUUAGGAACGAAACCUUGGUUGUAGGGAACAAAAGGUUUGUUCUGACCUUGUUGUUGAUGUGUAGGAUACACCUGAUCCUGAGGAUUAGCAACGUUGGUGCUGCGGUAGGAGAGGUUGGGAUUGUUGGUUUUGAAGUUGUUGUAUCCUUUGUAGCCACCCUGGUUGUUGUUGAUGUAGGUGACUUCUUCCAACUGGUUACCCUCCCCAUCUUGGACUUGAUACUGCUCGUCAUCAACAAGGAAGUGCACAUGCUUCUGCUGGCUAAGAAGAAUUUUGUCCAGGUUGUCAUUCAGCGCUUUGAUAUCCUUCCUGUGUUUGUCAUCAGAGUCAGCUGUUCCUUUGACGGUCCUAUCACAGUCCUCGUUGUAAUUGCCAUCUGAUUGAGCAAGGUUCUCAACCAAUUCCCAGCCUUCUUCAACAUCCUUGUUCUGGAAAUUCCCAUUGCUGGCGGUAUCCAGAAGCAUUCAGAUGCGUGGUAGGACUCCUCUGUAAAGAGUGCUGAGCAGAGAGGCUUUAGAAAAGCCAUGAUGAGGGCAUUGGUUGGUGUAACCCUUGAAACGCUCCCAUGCUUCACAGAAGCUUUCACCAUUCUUCUGUGAGAAACCAGAAAUCUCAUUUCUGAGUCUUGCAGUUCUGGCAUUGGAGAAUAACUUUGAUAGAAAAGCCUUCUUGCAAUCAUCCCAGGUGGUGAUUGAGUCAUGGGGCAGAUUCUUCUCCCAGAUGUGUGCUUUGCCACCCAAGGAGAAUGGAAACAAACGGAGCUUGAAUCCGUCGUCACUGACACCAUUGAUCUUCGUUAGGUUGCAGAGCCUAUCGAAUUCAUCAAGGUGGUCGAGUGGAUCCUCCAUUGGCAGACCAUGGAAUUUGUUCCCCUGAAUCAUCGAGAUGAGACCACUCUUAAUCUCAAAGUUGUUGUUCUGGAUAGUAGGAGGUGCAAUUCCCUUCCUCUGACGGUGAUCACGUGGUGCAUCUCCAGCACCAAUGUUGGCAGGGCCAUUUUGUUGAUUCUGUUCUUCAGCCAUUUCGAGUGGUUGCUGAGGUACAGGGUUGACUGUGGUUCUCCCUUUUCUGAGUUCGCGAGCUGUGCGGUUGAUGUUGUCGUUGAAAAGGAGGUUCUGAUUGCCUGUUAAUCGAGUUCGCAUAUAGCAGAGGUGUACCUGGAUCAAGAAGACAACAAGAAAAACACACAGUUAGUAACCGAAAAGAAAAUUGAAAAACAACUUGAUCUAAGCAAGUCUGAAAUCUCAAAUGUAACAAACAAACACCCAAUUGGCAACGGCGCCAAAUUGAUAAUAGGUUUUUUAAGUCAAUUAUCCUAAAACACCAAUCAUAUCGUUGUAGUAUUUUAGGUUGUCAAUCCAAAUGGGUGUGAUGCUAACAAUCAAGAUCUGAUCAGAAGUUACUAAGUUAAGCCAAGCAAUAACAGGUUUUGGUGUGUUAUAGCAAUCCUAACUGAACAUGCAGAAAACAGAAAAUCAAACAGAAACAGCAAAACACUCGACCAAGACAGCUCUGUGCAGAGCACUAGAUGAGGUCGAGUGACAGGUCGAGUAACAGGCAGAAAGUGAAACAGGGAUACUCGACUGCACAGUCUGUUGCCAGACAACUGGGUGGUCGAGUAUCAGGUCGAGUAACAGGAAAGAAUUGCAGAAACUAAGCAACAGAUAACAAGAUGCAGUAAACAACAGUAGAGUAAACAAAGAAUUCAAUCAGAUAAAGAAUUCCCGAGGAUGGGGUAAUCGAGUAGUUUCGUUUUCUCAGUUUACAGGUGAUUGACAUGCUCAAUAAAUUAACCCUAGACAACAAGUUCAUUAACCAAAUCUAAGUGCCACCGCAACAGAGACUCUAAAGUUAACCUAGUCCCAGACUCAAUCACCAUUGACGAGAGCUAACCUAACAGGCAUUACGAAUCAACAAGUUAAAGCCAAAACGCUCCCUGCAACCAAUACCUUGGUACAGGGUCACGAAUCUCUGGAAUUAGUGGUUCAGACAUUUCAUCGAACACCUUUUGGGCGCGGAAAUGUCUGGGCUCAAAUUCGAGUUGAUCAGAAAGCAAUAGGCAUUAAGAACAACUAAUCCAGAAGGGAUCUAUCAACCAAUACUCAAUCACCUAGCAUACUGAGAAUUCUACACUACUCUAACCCAUCCUCAGAAAUCUAUUCACUACUCAGACAUCAUAACAGAAAGCAUAAACGUUGAACAAAUUGAAAACAUGAUAACAACAAUGUAACAGCAGGAUGAUAACAGAAUGAACAACAGUAAACGAACUCAAGAACAGAAACUGAAUACUGAAUACUGAAUAGAUAAAGAGAAAUCCGUAUUACAAAAAGUCUAGAACAGAAGGUCUGCGGAAAUAAAACUAGAUAAAAACUUCUUGUCUGCGAAAAUGAGAAAUACAUGCUACUUAUAGCCAAAUAUCCCGAAACCCUAAUACUCAAAACGACGAAGUAUUGGGACGGGUUAAGAACUGUACUCGACCCACGUGGUCGAGUGAGACGUCGAGUGAAUAGCUGGAGUCUUCUUUUCUUCCUUGUGCUCGAGUCUCUGGUUGAGUGCGGAAUGAAGAAGGCUCUGAAGCUUGUCAUCGAGUAUGCAGUCGAGUGGUGGUGAUGGUGAUACUCGACAUCCAGAUAGAGUGAUCAGGUCGAGUAGAGGUAUGGCAAUGGGAUGAAGUCACUCGGCUUGGGGGUCGAGUGAUGUGAUCGAGUGGUGUCAGAAGAUACUCGACUUCCAGAUUGAGUGACGAGGUCGAGUGGUGGUCUUAUGAUGGAGUUACAGACACUCAACCUCAUGGUCGAGUGAUGUGAUCGAGUGAUGGUCUGGUGAUGGAGAUGAGGGCACUCGACCUCGUGGUCGAGUGGUGAAGUGAAAUGGUGAUGUCCUUUGCUCGACCCGGGGG